GAGGGCCACGUGUCUGCCUCUGUGUGUAUGUGUGUGUGCCACGCGCGCCAACGGUGAAAAGUCUGUGGUGUGUGCCAUACCUGCAUGUACACAUAGGGAAAGGAUGAUGUGUGCACACCUGUGUAUAUCCAUAGUCUCGCUAUACAGACACGUGUGUAUUCAUGGAGUAUGAGUCGUGUGUGUGCAUGCCUGGACGUAUAUAUAGAAGAGAACCCUCUGUGCAUACAAAUAUGGAUACCUAUGUUUAAUGCCUGCACACUGAAAAGAAUAGGGAGUGUUCGCUGGAGACCCUGCCCUGUCUUGGAGGAGGACCUCUGUGAGUUAAGAACAAAGCCGUUCUUAUGGACAAGGUGUCUGCAGAGGUCAGAAGAGGGUCUGCAGUCCCUGGAGCUGCAGUUACAACUGGGAGCCACCUAGGGGCGAUCUAGCUCUCUGGGAAAACAAGCGCUCUUAUCCAAUGAGCCGUCUCUGCAGCUCCCGUAUCCCUUACUUUCCAAAAGCAGCUUUGCCAACUUCAGAAUUCUUGAUUGGCAAGGUUUAUUUUUAUUUCUUUCAGAAUUAAAGUGUUCCGCCCUAC